GCAAACCAGGAUCUAUGUGGGAAAUAAAAGUUUCCACAGGGGGACCCGACUGGGGACAAAUAAAGUUCUGCAGGGGGAAAGAAAAGACUCUGGAAUAACCAACAUUUCAAAAGAAACCAAACUAUAGUUUGAGAGAUGACCGUGACAAAGACCUAACGGGAAAGACUUAACAAGGCAAGGCUCCACCGGGGAAAAUAAUCGUCAAAAGGGA
rnacentral:lncRNA from 1 species